UAAGGAAUAUUGGUCAAUGGACGCAAGUCUGAACCAGCCAUGCCGCGUGAAGGAUGAAGGUCCUCUGGAUUGUAAACUUCUUUUAUCUGGGACGAAAACGGGAUUUUUAUCUCAAUUGACGGUACCAGAGGAAUAAGCACCGGCUAACUCCGUGCCAGCAGCCGCGGUAAUACGGAGGGUGCGAGCGUUAUCCGGAUUUACUGGGUUUAAAGGGUGCGUAGGUGGGCAGAUAAGUCAGUGGUGAAAUCUUCCGGCUUAACCGGGAAACUGCCGUUGAUACUAUUUGUCUUGAAUAUUGCGGAGGUAAGCGGAAUAGGUCAUGUAGCGGUGAAAUGCUUAGAUAUGACAUAGAACACAAAUUGCGAAGGCAGCUUACUACACAAUCAUUGACACUGAGGCACGAAAGCGUGGGUAGCGAACA
rnacentral:rRNA from 1 species